AUUGAACGCUGGCGGAAUGCUUUACACAUGCAAGUUGAACGGCAGCACGGGGGCAACCCUGGUGGCGAGUGGCGAACGGGUGAGUAAUACAUCGGAACGUGCCCAGUCGUGGGGGAUAACGUAGCGAAAGCUACGCUAAUACCGCAUACGAACUCUGGUUGAAAGCGGGGGAUCGCAAGACCUCGCGCGAUUGGAGCGGCCGAUGGCAGAUUAGGUAGUUGGUGGGGUAAAGGCUCACCAAGCCGACGAUCUGUAGCUGGUCUGAGAGGACGACCAGCCACACUGGGACUGAGACACGGCCCAGACUCCUACGGGAGGCAGCAGUGGGGAAUUUUGGACAAUGGGCGAAAGCCUGAUCCAGCCAUUCCGCGUGCAGGAUGAAGGCCCUCGGGUUGUAAACUGCUUUUGUACGGAACGAAAC
rnacentral:rRNA from 1 species